ensembl:snRNA U5 U5 spliceosomal RNA
UAAUCUGGUUUCUCUUCAGACUGUAUAAAUCUUUCACCUUUUACUAAAGACUUCUGUGAACAGGAACGAGCACAGGUGUCAUGCAAUUUUUUGAGGUAUUUAUACAGACU